rnacentral:rRNA from 1 species
CGCGUAGGCGGGCUAUUAAGUUGGAUGUGAAAUCUCCGGGCUCAACCCGGAAACCGCAUCCAAAACUGUUAGCCUUGAGGUAUGGAGAGGGAAGUGGAAUUCCUGGUGUAGCGGUGAAAUGCGUAGAUAUCAGGAGGAACACCCGUGGCGAAGGCGGCUUCCUGGUCAUAUCCUGACGCUGAGGUGCGAAAGCUAGGGGAGCGAACGGGAUUAGAUACCCCGGUAGUCCUAGCCGUAAACGAUGGAUACUAGGUGUUAGUGGUAUCGACCCCACUAGUGCCGUAGCUAACGCAAUAAGUAUCCCGCCUGGGGAGUACGGCCGCAAGGUUGAA